GCGAUGACGGUCGGUGAUCGUUCGUGCUUGACGUACAUUAUUCGAUUUGAUUGUGCGGAGAUGCGGGUGUGCUAGAAUGGAAUAACGGAUGGUUGCUUAGAACGGUGACGCCGUAAAACAGUGGCGACUGUCUGUCGACUAGCAUAACAACAAAUUUUGCAGUGUAUAAUGGGACGAAUAAAUCACCGAUGAGAUUUACGGAAUGCGACGAUUAUAAUGGAAAAACUGGGCAUGGUGGGAGCCUCCAAUCAGUCAGCAAUUAUCGCUAAUGACGACUAUGAACCGUCGGACCGUCGAUCAUCCGACACAUUUUGGCUGCCGUCAUUCUGCCUGGAUAAAUAAACCGGGAAAUUAUUGCCAGUCACGCUAAUUUACCUCUACCGCGGCCAAACUCCCGGUCGUUUAUUCGAAGGCUGAAAAUUAAACUCAUUUCAGUUGAAGUUUUUCUUCGCCAGACUUACCUGCUCGGGCAAAGUAAGCGAAUACAACGUUGGAUAAAACCAAGGAAAAAAAAAGCGCCCUCAUGGGGAACGCAUUCACCCUUACAUUGUACUUUGCAGCCAGGAAAAAGUUAGGAAACCAUAGAAAAAUAUGCCAUCAAUAAAAUAAUCCGCAUGUGGGUGCUCAGUUCGAUUCUGCAGCCAGUCGAAUACUGAAAUCAAGUUGGCCAUGCCAUCACGACCAACUGCGACCGGACCAGAUCAGGACCAUAAUAGAGAUGGGCAAUUCGCUCCUGAGCUGUUCCAGUGAAUCGAAUCAUUGAAGUGAGCUGACAGCUCACAGCUCUUUUCAAAAGAACCGCAGCUCACCAGCUCACUCAUUUGCUACCCAGUUCACUGCAUUAUGACGAAGGGAACACGCUACGAGCUGAUCGGAUCUUCGGCUCUUUAAGAGAUUCAAUUUAGUCGACAUCAAUUAAAGAUAAGUUAAUUCGCAUUGCAUUCAUUGCAAAUCAAUGAUUCAAUUUCGAUCAUGCAUAUGAAAGAAAACCGGUGCAUAAGAAAAACGGCGCACAAAAUGAACCUUAAGUUUAAACCAAAAGAGCUGAUGAGCUGAUACAUCGAAUCGAUUCACUUUGGUGAGCUGAUCGGUUCGGAGCUGUUCACCAAAAUGAGCUGUUUUGCACACCUCUAGACCAUAAUGGAAGAAAGAGUUUGCGUGCUUCUGAUGUUUCCACCGAAACAGCGCAGACCGAAUACAUAAACGAGAUAGACAAAUCGAGAAUAAGAGCAUCGUUUAUAUUGCCAAGUAUUAUAUUUAUGUACAGUGACGAUGCAGCUGAAAAUGGAGCAAAGCUUUUUGGGGCCGCUCCAACGACCACUUUGAAAUGUCACGCGUGAAUGUAAGUGUGACGGCGUUCGUUGCCGUCAACAACUAAGCAGUUGGGAGUGGGUGGCCUGCCGGGAUGGCGACCUGCAAUUCGACGGUGGUGCGACCCGCCAUCCAUAAUAAUUAUUGUGAUUGUUGCUUGUUGGUGUAAUGAAGGAUUUAUGGGAAUUGGAGAACAGCUUGUUUAACUCAAAUAGCAGUCUUUGUUCCGCUUUUCACUUCAUUGGUAUUGAUUUCUCGUUCGAAAUCAGUAGAAAAGCUGGUUUUGAUCACUAGUUUUGUUAGUUGCAUAUUUGAACUAUGAAGUACAAGCAAUUUCAACAUUUACGGACAUCAUCAAAUUUUAACAUAUUUUGAAAGUAAACAUUUGUACUGUUCACCAAUUCUGAGACAUUUGGUUUCAUAUAUGUGUAAUAUGCUUUCCAAUUGGACGUUAUGCAAGCGUUAUUCAAACACUUUCGAGCCCCUUUGCUGAGUGUGCUUAAAGCGAAUGUAAGCAUAGCAGGGCAUUGAUUUGAAAUAUUUCACUCGAAAAGCUUCACACAGACGAAAGCAUACUCAACAUGUAACAUAAAACAGUGCUCGACUCAGCAAAACUUCAUCUUCGCAAGUUUCGAUUGAAGCGGCUUUUAACACCACCCGUUCGAAUUUUACGUACAGUGCAAAUCGUUUUCCGAAGUUAUCGCUCUUUUGACCACCUGAAAGUGAAGGUUGUAUCAAAUGGAUUCAAAAGCUAAGAAUCUGCUCAAAGUAGAUAAAUAGCAGUAGCUAUUUAGCGUAUUAUCCGUCACCCAGUGAAAAUUUAUAAAUUCGUUUCUUCAAUAUGAAAAUUUAUUUUCAAUGGAUACAAUGCGAGUUCGCCGCAACGAAGUUUCGAACUUAACUAAAUGAUUGCUUCUUGCUGUGCCACAUUCAUAGAAUGCUACAAUUUGUUUGAAACGUUUUGAUUGCCCUUUGUAUUCAAACUAUAAACAAUUUAUUUAUAACAUCUGUUAAUAAAACGAAAUAUCAAUCGAAACAAUAAGUUUUUUGCUAGAAGAUCGCAAAUAAAAAACCUAAGAUAAAUAUUAUGAGAUACAGCAAAGAAUAUAAUCAAUACGAGAAACAUACACACAGAAAAAGUAAGAGCAUAACCAAUCAAAAAAUUUUCGAGUUCCAUGUAAUCAAGACAAUUUACAUUUAACAAAUGUUGCUUUCAAAUCCGUAUGUACUGCAUCAAUUUAUACCUUUUUUCCAAACGCGAAAUAUAGAUUUGGUAGAAUCUAACCAACGUAUCUUCGAAUUAAACAGAGUAGUAAGACAUAUUAGAUGGUAAUGAAUAUUCCACAGGAACAUGAUUGCUAAUUGAACUGUGUAACACCUGUUGAUGCAGAUAUAAGUACCGAGGUUUUUGUUCAAUUUAGCAGUGAUUUAUUUAAAAGGGGCUGAGGUCUACUAGAAGAUUGAUAGUACCUAUUAUCUUUCUCCGGAUAGUACCAGCCUAGAUGCCGUGUGGAAUCCGGCAGAAAAAAAUGAGCCCAGAAUAGAUCCCCUGGGAUCCUGCUUCCAUGUCGUAAAAGCAGGAGUUUUUUUUCCUUUCAGUUCUCAGAUAUUCCCAACGUUUCACUUCUGAUUACUCUAUUUUACUAAAUUCUCGCUUCAUUCAACUUCAUUCAACUUAUCAAUUUGCGGCUAGCUUCGGAGAAAAGUUUUAUUGGGUAUGUUUCUUCUUCCAUGUUAUUGCUUGUCUUUCAUUAUUAUAAAUUGAGGGGGACGGGUAUAGCGUGAUGGGUAAGUCGAUACCUUUAACGCAGCCCGCCUGGGUUCGAUUCCCAAUCCCGUACAUAGGGUCAGAAAGUUUUAUCUGGUCCGAAGAGGCGAAUGACCUUAAGGUUAAAACAUCUAUAAUCUAGUCUGUGUAGAACGUGUCUAAAUAGCCAUGGCAAGUGGCCUUGUCGAUCAUGGACCGGUUGCGAAAUUGAUGGGUGUCGUCAGAAACAUAAUACUCUCCUACAUUCUUCACUUCCUCCCGUUCGUAGUGUGAGUGUUUCUGCUAGUCAUGUCUCGUCUGAUGAGUUCAAUUGGCCACUGUUUAGAGUGGUACCUGUGAUUCUCUACGGACGAAAACGCUCUCGACUUGUUUUCGGAUUUAUAGAUGAAGGUUUAUCGUACACUCUACUAGAUCAAUCUAUCGCGCAGUUAUUUGAUGUCUCCGGUUCAAAUGAACCGCUCACUCUACAGUGGACUGGUAACGUCAGUCGAGAUGAGUCCGAAUCUCAACGUGUACAACUAGAUACCUCCGGUAAAACCGGAAACCAACGGUACCGUUUAAACAAUGUCCGGACUGUCCGUCGCUUGCUUCUCCCCUCUCAAACUCUCCGGUAUCAUGAUCUAGCGCGCCGUUUUCCGCAUUUACAAGGUCUACCAUUAGACAAUUAUGAGCUUGUCCAACCUCAGUUGCUAAUCGGUUUAGACAAUCUUCGACUGCAUGUUCCGCUUAAACUUCGCGAAGGAGGCCCUAGAGAUCCAAUCGGUGCUAAAUGCCGUUUGGGUUGGAGCAUUUAUGGGUGUAUUCCCAGGGCAGUCUAGUAGAACUGCAAUCGUUAACUUUCACCUCGGAACUGUUUCUGAUUCUGAUCGUGAAAUGAAUGAACAACUUCGAAACUAUUUCGCGCUGGAAAAUUUCGGUGUAACAGUGCCCAGUGCCAUCCUAGAAUCAUCAGACGAAAAACGAGCAAAGCAAAUCCUGAAAGAGACUACACGACGUACACAAUCGGGAAUCGGUUUUGAAACGGGACUUCUGUGGAACACCGACAACCCGGAGUCUCCCGAUAGUUAUCUCAUGGCGGUCCGCCGCAUGGAAUCCCUGGAACGGAGACUUGAAAGAGAGCCAGUACUACGAGAGAACGUGCGAAAGCAAAUUGCGGACUACGUGCAGAAGGCUACGCACAUAAGGCGUCUCUAAUCGAGUUAACUUCUGUUAAUGUGUGUCGUACGUGGUAUUUACCACUGGGUGUCGUGACUAAUCCGAACAAACCCGGUAAGAUACGAUUGAUCUGGGAUGCAGCGGCCAAGGUGGGCGGAACAUCGUUUAAUUCGAAGCUCCUGAAAGGACCCGAUCUACUGUCUCCUCUUCCACAAGUGUUGAGUCAAUUCCGUCAGUUCCCGGUAGCAGUGUGUGGAGACAUAAUGGAAAUGUUCCACCAGAUCAAGAUUCGCUUUCCUGAUUGUCAAUCACAACGUUUCCUGUUUCGAGAUCAUGCUACAGACGACGACAGGAAGACGUUUUUGUAUACUCUAUUAACAUGCGGAGCGAUAUAAAACAAAUUCUCGACGAUGAACACAUUCCCACCAAGCGCGAAGUGCUUAGAGUGAUCAUGAGUUUAUUCGAUCCUCUCGGAUUUAUUGCGUUUUUCCUGGAUCAUUGAAAAAUAUUAAUGCAGGAUAUUUGGGCUAGAGGAAUCGAAUGGGACGAACAAAUUACACCGGAUAUCUACGUUCGUUGGUGGCAAUGGACGAACCUGUUUCCGGAAUUCGGUGCUUUACGCAUUCCCCGGUGUUAUUUUCACUCACCCUUUCCAAAAAACUUGGACAACCUAGAGGUUCACAUUUUUGUGGAUGCCAGCGAGAUGGCAUACUCGGGCGUGGCGUACUUUCGUGUAGAAGAAGCUAGACAAGUUCAAGUGGCAUUCGUCGGUGCCAAGACCAAAGUCGCACCUUUAAAAACUCUAUCCAUAGCUGGAGCUGAUGGCAGCUUCGCUUGGAACACGAAUGUUGAACAUGAUCAAAUCCUACCACUCGUUUCCCAUCGUCCGUCAGUUUAUGUGGACUGAUUCAACGGUAACACUCGCUUGGAUCAAAUCAAAGGAUCAUCGCCGAUAUCAACAAUUUGUUGCUGUUCGCGUGGGUGAAAUAUUGAUGUCAACUAAGUCGAAGGAUUGCAGACACGUUUCUUCUAAGCUCAACUUAGCGGAUAUUGCUACAAAAUGGAAACAAGGAAUACAACUCUCGAUGAACAAUCCGUGGUUUCGGGCUGAAGAAAUUCUGCAAAACCUUGAAGAUAUGUGGCCUGAAGAUAGUCCCAUCCCGGAAACACGAAAAGAAAUGCGUUCUAACUGCACAAACUUUGGACAUUUCGCUCCGAUCAUUGAUAUUUAUCGGUUCAGUUCGUGGGCCAGACUCCAUCGUGCAAUAGCAUACGUUCUACGCUAUCUCGAUAAUCUACGAGGUCUGUUCAAAAAGUUCCCGGAAUUUUUUAAUUGCGCGCGUCUGGAGAGUCCUGUGGUCAAAGUUUUUUUUAUUGUGUUGGUACAUAUGUCCCUAAUGUAUGGUGAAAUUUUCAGCUGUAUUCAUUGUUUACAUUCUGUCUUGUAGCGGCUGGUGUAGACGUGUUUUUUUGAGCUC